rnacentral:rRNA from 1 species
GACGAACGCUGGCGGCGUGCUUAACACAUGCAAGUCGAACGGAAAGGCCCUGCUUUUGUGGGGUGCUCGAGUGGCGAACGGGUGAGUAACACGUGAGUAACCUGCCCUUGACUUUGGGAUAACUUCAGGAAACUGGGGCUAAUACCGUAUAGGAGCUCCUGCUGCAUGGUGGGGGUGGGAAAGUUUCGGCGGUUGGGGAUGGACUCGCGGCUUAUGAGCUUGUUGGUGGGGUAGUGGCUUACCAAGGCUUUGACGGGUAGCCGGCCUGAGAGGGUGACCGGCCACAUUAGGACUGCGAGACGGCCCAGAGGCCUACGGGAGGCAGCAGUGGGGAAUAUUGCACAGUGGGCGGGAGCGUGAUGCAGCAACGCCGCGGGCGGGAUGACGGCCUUCGGGUUGUAAACCGCUUUCGCCUGUGACGAAGCGGGAGUGACGGUAAUGGGUAAAGAAGCACCGGCUAACUACGUG